GUUGCAGUUUUGUAGUACGGGUAAUUUUGUUUUGUUUUCUCUGAUGCUAAGGUAGUUUUAAGAUUUACUUUGACCUUUCCUUUGGUUGAUGUAAUCUUGAAGCUGUAGUCGUUAGAGGUAAUCAUAGGUUUUGUUCAUAAGAGGACUUGACUUUUCGUGGAUGUGGAAGCAUUUGUUUGUUUUUGUUCGAAUGCAAGAGAGAUAUUUUAGGGCCUGGCGAUCACCUUGUU
rnacentral:lncRNA from 7 species